rnacentral:rRNA from 1 species
UACGAAGGGGGCUAGCGUUGUUCGGAAUCACUGGGCGUAAAGCGCACGUAGGCGGAUUGUUAAGUCGGGGGUGAAAUCCUGAGGCUCAACCUCAGAACUGCCUUCGAUACUGGCAAUCUCGAGUCCGGAAGAGGUUGGUGGAACAGCUAGUGUAGAGGUGAAAUCGUAGAUAUUAGCUAGAACACCAGUGGCGAAGGCGGCCAACUGGUCCGGUACUGACGCUGAGGUG